CCUGUUGAGGCUGCGUAGCCAGAAGCUGACAGUCGGAUGGCUGCGGGCCUUCUGCAGAUCCCCCACAUUCUGGCCCAGUAGCGUGGUCACACUGC
rnacentral:pre_miRNA from 1 species